AGAGUUUGAUCCUGGCUCAGGAUGAACGCUGGCGGCGUGCCUAACACAUGCAAGUCGAACGGGCUUAACAUGAAACCUAGUGAUUGUUAAGUUAGUGGCGGACGGGUGAGUAACGCGUGGAUAACCUGCCGUAUGCAGGGGGAUAACAGUUGGAAACAGCUGCUAAUACCGCAUAAGCGCACAGUACCGCAUGGUACGGUGUGAAAAGAUUUAUCGGCAUACGAUGGAUCCGCGUCCGAUUAGCCAGUUGGCGGGGUAACGGCCCACCAAAGCGACGAUCGGUAGCCGGCCUGAGAGGGCGGACGGCCACAUUGGGACUGAGACACGGCCCAAACUCCUACGGGAGGCAGCAGUGGGGAAUAUUGCACAAUGGGGGAAACCCUGAUGCAGCGACGCCGCGUGAGUGAAGAAGUAUCUCGGUAUGUAAAGCUCUAUCAGCAGGGAAGAAAAUGACGGUACCUGACUAAGAAGCCCCGGCUAACUACGUGCCAGCAGCCGCGGUAAUACGUAGGGGGCAAGCGUUAUCCGGAUUUACUGGGUGUAAAGGGAGCGUAGACGGCGCUGCAAGUCCGGAGUGAAAGCCCAUGGCUUAACCAUGGUACUGCUCUGGAAACUGUGGAGCUUGAGUGCGGGGAGGGGG
rnacentral:rRNA from 1 species